AGAUAAACCAUCAAACCAGAGUGUUGAGAGCUUGGAAGUUUCAUUACUUGGAGCAAUGAGAGCUUUUGGAAUAACAUCAAUGGCUAGAGGUAUGAAUUUGAUUUGUGGCAUUUUCAGUUUUUCGAUCCCAUUUGUUUUCGCAUAAUUGUUUAGGAUUGGUUUUCAGUCUAACGCUUGAUAUUAGAGCUCCAUAUUGCCUCUAUCUUGGUGUUUCACCAUCAAUCUGCAAAACUCGAUCCUCUUUGGCUAAUUUAUUUUUUUUGAAAAUAAAUGGAGAUUUCUCCAUAGAAUCAAUUUCCUAGCCUCUGAAUGUUGUUUUGAUAUCGAGAGAGUUGGAUUCAAGCCAGGUCAAUUUCAACCCACUGGAGGUUGAAGAUGACUGGAGAAUGUAAUUUUCAAAUCUAUUUUUGUGAUUGUAGUCAGUGAUAUUUACUAGGCCAUCAUGUUUUGUGAUUGUAUAAAACUUUUUUAGUGAUUGGGCCAUCUUAUUAUUACCACAUACAAAGUGUUUAUAGGGCCAUUUUCGAAAUUAUAAGCAAUUUUUUAAUUGGGCCAGAAUUAAUUUAGUGGAAAUUACAUUGCAACAGGUGUAUAAAAUUUACAAUUCAUAUAUUAG
rnacentral:lncRNA from 1 species